UUUCCGUAGGCGAACCUGCGGAAGGAUCAUUAUUGUAUAACCGAGGUGCGAGGGCUGUCGCUGACCCGAAAGGUCGUGCACGCCCGAGUGCCCUCACACACAUCCAACUCACCCCUAUGUGCACCACCGCGGGGGUCCCCCUUUGGCUUGUUCGGAGGGGGGCUUACGUUUUCACACAAACUUUGUAUGCAGUGUAGAAUGUAUUUUUUGUUUUUGCGAUCACGCAAUCAAUACAACUUUCAACAACGGAUCUCUUGGCUCUC
rnacentral:misc_RNA from 1 species